UACGUAGGGCGCAAGCGUUGUCCGGAAUUAUUGGGCGUAAAGAGCUCGUAGGCGGCUUGUCACGUCGGGCGUGAAAGCCCGGGGCUUAACCCCGGGACUGCAUCCGAUACGGGCAGGCUAGAGUGUGGUAGGGGAGACUGGAAUUCCUGGUGUAGCGGUGAAAUGCGCAGAUAUCAGGAGGAACACCGGUGGCGAAGGCGGGUCUCUGGGCCGAAACUGACGCUGAGGAGCGAAAGCGUGGGGAGCGAACAGG
rnacentral:rRNA from 1 species